rnacentral:rRNA from 1 species
UACAGGGGGUGCAAACGUUGCUCGGAAUCAUUGGGCGUAAAGCGCACGUAGGCGGUUCGUUAUGUCGGAUGUGAAAGCCCUUGGGCUUAACCGAGGAAGUGCAUCCGAAACUGGCGAGCUAGAGUACUAAAGAGGAUCGCGGAAUUCCCGGUGUAGAGGUGAAAUUCGUAGAUAUCGGGAGGAACACCGGUGGCGAAGGCGGCGAUCUGGGUAGAUACUGACGCUGAGGUGCGAAAAGCGUGGGGGAGCAAACAGGG